rnacentral:rRNA from 1 species
UAGGGAAUCUUCGGCAAUGGGGGCAACCCUGACCGAGCAACGCCGCGUGAGUGAAGAAGGUUUUCGGAUCGUAAAGCUCUGUUGUAAGAGAAGAACGUGUGUGAGAGUGGAAAGUUCACACAGUGACGGUAACUUACCAGAAGGGGACGGCUAACUACGUGCCAG